rnacentral:rRNA from 1 species
AGAAGGGCAUUUGGUGGAUGCCUUGGCGCAUAGAGGCGAUGAAGGACGUGUUAGGCUGCGAUAAGCCCGGAGGAGCUGCCAAAGAGCUUUGAUCCCGGGAUGUCCGAAUGGGGAAACCCACCCUUAGGGGUAUCGGCAUCUGAAUACAUAGGAUGUCGAGGCAAACGCGGGGAAUUGAAACAUCUUAGUACCCGUAGGAAAGGAAAUCGAAGAGACUCCGUUAGUAGUGGCGAGCGAACGCGGACCAGGCCAGUGGCCUUUGCGUUGUAACCGGAACCUUCUGGAAAGUUGGGCAUUAUUGGGUGAUAGCCCCGUACGGAAACAGCAACGUAGAGGUCCUUGAGUAGGGCGGGACACGUGAAAUCCUGUCUGAAUAUGGGGCGACCACGCUCCAAGCCUAAGUACUCCCAUGCGACCGAUAGUGAACCAGUACCGUGAGGGAAAGGUGAAAAGCACCCCGAUUAGGGGAGUGAAACAGUACCUGAAACCGG